GGGCCGGUGGUCUAGGGGUUAUGAUGUCGCCCUUACGAGGCGAAGUUCGUGAGUUCGAUUCUCACCCGGCCCA
rnacentral:tRNA from 1 species